ACCUUUUGUAUAAUGGGUCAGCGACUUAUAUUCUGUAGCAAGGUUAACCGAAUAGGGGAGCCGAAGGGAAACCGAGUCUUAACUGGGCGUUAAGUUGCAGGGUAUAGACCCGAAACCCGGUGAUCUAGCCAUGGGCAGGUUGAAGGUUGGGUAACACUAACUGGAGGACCGAACCGACUAAUGUUGAAAAAUUAGCGGAUGACUUGUGGCUGGGGGUGAAAGGCCAAUCAAACCGGGAGAUAGCUGGUUCUCCCCGAAAGCUAUUUAGGUAGCGCCUCGUGAAUUCAUCUCCGGGGGUAGAGCACUGUUUCGGCAAGGGGGUCAUCCCGACUUACCAACCCGAUGCAAACUGCGAAUACCGGAGAAUGUUAUCACGGGAGACACACGGCGGGUGCUAACGUCCGUCGUGAAGAGGGAAACAACCCAGACCGCCAGCUAAGGUCCCAAAGUCAUGGUUAAGUGGGAAACGAUGUGGGAAGGCCCAGACAGCCAGGAUGUUGGCUUAGAAGCAGCCAUCAUUUAAAGAAAGCGUAAUAGCUCACUGGUCGAGUCGGCCUGCGCGGAAGAUGUAACGGGGCUAAACCAUGCACCGAAGCUGCGGCAGCGACG
rnacentral:rRNA from 1 species